rnacentral:rRNA from 1 species
UACGUAGGUGGCAAGCGUUGUCCGGAUUUAUUGGGUUUAAAGGGUGCGUAGGCGGUUUUUUAAGUCAGUGGUGAAAUACGGCAGCUCAACUGUCGAGGUGCCAUUGAUACUGGGAAACUUGAGUACUGAUGAGGUAGGCGGAAUGGACGGUGUAGCGGUGAAAUGCGUAGAUAUCCGGAGGAACACCAGUGGCGAAGGCGACUUCCUGGCCUGUUCUUGACGCUGAGGCGCGAAAGCUGGGGGAGCAAACGGG